CUGCUUCGAAUCUCGAAGUUCUUCAUGGCGGGAGCGUUCCUGAAGAUCUGCCAGGAUCCUCCCCAAUCCGAUGUUGGAAUUGGUGGCGCACAAGGAUCACAAUCAUUUAGGACACCGGCGAGCCAACCGUCUCGAUUGUUGACUGAUAGUAAUGCAAAUGGCCACCAUCGAAAGGGUAUCCGAGGUUAAAGGAUAGGAACUUCUUGACUCAAAAGGAAGAUUUGUCAUUUGAUAUUGUUUGUUUCAUGUUAUCGUGAUAGAGAUUG
rnacentral:sRNA from 1 species